rnacentral:rRNA from 1 species
AACGAACGCUGGCGGCAGGCUUAACACAUGCAAGUCGAACGCCCCGCAAGGGGAGUGGCAGACGGGUGAGUAACACGUGGGAACGUGCCCAAAGGUUCGGAAUAUUCCCGGGAAACUGGGAGCAAUACCGAAUGUGUCCGCAAGGAGAAAGAUUUAUCGCCUUUGGAUCGGCCCGCGUCGGAUUAGCUAGUUGGUGGGGUAAAAGCCUACCAAGGCGACGAUCCGUAGCUGGUUUGAGAGAACGACCAGCCACACUGGGACUGAGACACGGCCCAGACUCCUACGGGAGGCAGCAGUGGGGAAUCUUGGACAAUGGGCGCAAGCCUGAUCCAGCCAUGCCGCGUGAGUGAUGAAGGCCUUAGGGUUGUAAAACUCUUUCGCCGAGGACGAUAAUGACGGUACUCGGAGAAGAAGCUCCGGCUAACUUCGUGCCAGCAGCCGCGGUAAGAC